AGCUCCAACGAUGGCGUCCAUGGGAGACGAGGGUUCCAGCUCCAGAGCAAUCGAUUCCACGAACAUUGGCUUCCAGCUGUUGAAGAAGUGCGGGUGGAAAGAGGGGACUGGUCUCGGAGUCUCACAGCAGGGUAGGUUGGAACCCCUGGAAACUCAUGUAAAGAAGAACAAGCGUGGGUUGGGUGCAGAGAAAAUCAAGAAAAAGAAAGAGGAGCUUCCUGUAGAUCCGCCAUCAGAAGUGGACAGUGAGGAUAAUAAGCUGCAAUCCAAGAAAAAAGUGAAGGCAAACUCUAAAAGGAUAAGAAAGAUGUUGGAGGAAGACAAACGUGCGAAAGAGAAAGAAUUUGAAAGAGCUUUCUUUCGGGAGUUCUGGCCAGACAAUGUUUGACUAAUGUCUCGGCCUGCCUUAAAUAUACAGGAUUACAGGCUUGCCAAUACUGAAUUGCACCCGACUGAACAGGCUGGCUGGUUUUAAAUAUGAGAGACGAAUGGCUAGAUUGUCAAUUAGAAGCAAUGAUGAUGCCGGUGGACAUUAUGGCUGUUGGUUAGAUAGAAUGGAGGAAUGUCUGCAAUCAAGAGGAACAGAUAGUCGGAAGACCCUACUAAAUCAUCAGGGGCGUGCACAAGCUUCGAUGGAGUAAGUGGGGGCAGGGCCCGCACAUAUAUGGGCGCUGGGACCACCCGCACAUAGCCACCGCUCACAUCUCUCAGAAAUGUGCUCUCAGCCGAGAAUCUAACCCUCAUCACUCGGUGAAGAGCUCUAUCAGCGAUGCAGGGAAGGACUAUAAAACAUGCCAAAUUUCCUGCGUAUGGUUUCCUCCAGCAAUACUGAUGCUUUAAUCAAAUGUUUAUGCAGAGUUUUGUUUGAUUAAAAUUCAUGGAAGGAAACAAAAUGGCUAUGAAUCAAUUUCUCAUAUUUCUAAGUCAUGGUUACUGUGUAAACGUCAAAUAUUAGUGUAUCUUGUCUUUUAUUUUUUUAUA